UAGGCUAUAUUCUGUCUUCAUUCUGCAUCUGGAAUUUCCAUUGACGUCAGUAGAGCUGUUGAGCAAAAUUAAAAAGAAUAGUCUAAGGUCUAGAACUGAGUCCAGAUGGAAGUUGAAACACUUGCUCUUCCUGUUCAGGAAAUACCACAAAAGGAAUUAACUUAAUACAUGAAGGAUGAAAGCUUCAUUCCAUUCAAUCAUUCAAUGAUAAGUUUUGAAAUACCUUACAUAAUAGUUUUCAUUCUUCACAGAAUAAAAGAAAAUAAAAUAAAUUAUU